rnacentral:rRNA from 1 species
GUCCACGCCGUAAACGAUGGACACUAGGUGUGGGAGGUAUUGACCCCUUCCGUGCCGAAGCUAACGCAUUAAGUGUCCCGCCUGGGGAGUACGACCGCAAGGUUAAAACUCAAAGGAAUUGACGGGGCCCGCACAAGCGGUGGAGCAUGUGGUUCAAUUCGACGCAACGCGAAGAACCUUACCUGGGCUUGACAUCCGCUGACUGUCCUGGAAACAGGAUUUUCCCCGCAAGGGGACAGCGAGACAGGUGCUGCAUGGCUGUCGU